rnacentral:lncRNA from 1 species
CCGCAGCUAAGCUUUUUUUCUGGCAGGAUGGGGAGGGUGGAAUAAGACAUGUCAGUGGCCUUGGAUGAGCUCUGCUGGAGUGGUGCCCCGCCCGGGCCACUGCUCUCCUAGGCAGCGUGACUCUCAGAAACCUGGCAGUUGUAUGGGCAUCUGUGUUGUGUAGGAUGAAUGACAGUUGUGGUUGUGUGGGAUCACCUGUUGUGUAGGGUGAAUGACAGUUGCAUAGGUGUCUGUGUUGUGUAGGGUGAAUGAUGGUUUUGUGGGAUCACCUGUUGUGUAGGGUGAAUGACAGUUAGGUGGGUGUCUGUGUUAUGUAGGGUGAAUGAUGGUUUUGUGAGAUCGCCUGUUGUGUAGGGUGAAUGACAGUUGUGUGGGUGUGCAUGUUGUGCAGGAUGAACGAGAGAUGUGUGGGAUCACCUGUUGUGUAGGGUGAAUGACAGUUGUGUGGGUGUCUGUGUUCUGCAGGAUGAAUGACAAUUGUGUGGGCAUCCUCUGUUGUGUAGGAUGAAUGGGAGUUGUGUGAGUGUCCAUAUUGUGCAGGAUGAAUGACAGUUGUGUAGCCAUCUCCUGUUGUGUAGGAUCAAUGAUGCUUGUGCAUGUGUGUCCCCUGUUGUGUAGGAUCAAUGAUGGUUGUAUGUGUGCGUCCACUGUUGUGUAGGAUCAGUGAUGCUUGUGUGUGUGUGUCCCAUUGUGUAGGAUCAAUGAUGGUUGUGUAUGUGUGUCCACAGUUGUGUAGGAUGAGUGAGAGUUGUGUGAUCGUUCUGUGUUGUAUAGGAUAAUAGCGAAGGUGGGCAGCUUCCCUG